GACGAACGCUGGCGGCGUGCCUAAUACAUGCAAGUCGAGCGAGCGGAACCAACAGAUUUACUUCGGUAAUGACGUUGGGAAAGCGAGCGGCGGAUGGGUGAGUAACACGUGGGGAACCUGCCCCUAAGUCUGGGAUACCAUUUGGAAACAGGUGCUAAUACCGGAUAAGAAAGCAGAUCGCAUGAUCAGCUUUUAAAAGGCGGCGUAAGCUGUCGCUAAGGGAUGGCCCCGCGGUGCAUUAGCUAGUUGGUAAGGUAACGGCUUACCAAGGCAACGAUGCAUAGCCGAGUUGAGAGACUGAUCGGCCACAUUGGGACUGAGACACGGCCCAAACUCCUACGGGAGGCAGCAGUAGGGAAUCUUCCACAAUGGACGCAAGUCUGAUGGAGCAACGCCGCGUGAGUGAAGAAGGUUUUCGGAUCGUAAAGCUCUGUUGUUGGUGAAGAAGGAUAGAGGUAGUAACUGGCCUUUAUUUGACGGUAAUCAACCAGAAAGUCACGGCUAACUACGUG
rnacentral:rRNA from 1 species